CAAGCGGUGGAUGAUGUGGAUUAAUUCGAUGCAACGCGAAGAACCUUACUACCCUUGACAUGUCCGGAACUUGCCAGAGAUGGCUUGGUGCCCGAAAGGGAAUCGGAACACAGGUGCUGCAUGGCUGUCGUCAGCUCGUGUCGUGAGAUGUUGGGUUAAGUCCCGCAACGAGCGCAACCCUUAUCAUUAGUUGCUACGCAAGGGCACUCUAAUGAGACUGCCGGUGACAAACCGGAGGAAGGUGGGGAUGACGUCAAGUCCUCAUGGCCCUAUGGGUAGGGCUUCACACGUCAUACAAUGGUCGGUACAGAGGGUUGCCAAGCCGCGAGGCGGAGCCAAUCCCACAAAGCCGAUCGUAGUCCGGAUUGUUCUCUGCAACUCGAGAGCAUGAAGUCGGAAUCGCUAGUAAUCGCAGGUCAGCAUACUGCGGUGAAUACGUUCCCGGGUCUU
rnacentral:rRNA from 1 species